rnacentral:rRNA from 1 species
ACCAAACAGCUAGCUCAACCCAAAAUGACGAACCCCACGACAUAGACUAAACUAUAAUAAACUAACCCAGUCAACUAAACCAUUCGACCACCCCAGUACGGGCGACAGAAAAGGACCAAUGAAGCCAUAGACAAAGUACCGCAAGGAAAGCUGAAAGAGAGCUGAAAUAGCGCACUAAAGUAGAUAAAAGCAGAGACUGAGCCUCGUACCUUUUGCAUCAUGAUCUAGCCAGUAACCCCCCAAGCGAAGAGACCUCUAGUUUGAACCCCCGAAACCGGACGAGCUACUCCGGGACAGCCUAUCGUAGGGCCAACCCGUCUCUGUGGCAAAAGAGUGGGAAGAUCCCCGAGUAGAGGUGAAAGACCUACCGAGUCAGGUUAUAGCUGGUUGCCCAAGAAAUGAAUAGAAGUUCAGCCCCGUCAAACCCUUACCCACAACAGUUUUACUCAAACCAGGUAAAAGGCUACCUACGGGAGUUAGUCAAAGGAGGUACAGCUCCCUUAACAAAGGAUACAACCUUCACAGGAGGCUAAGGAAUAAAUUAAAUAAAGGCCACAGGUUUCAGUGGGCCUAAAAGCAGCCAUCUGAACAGAAAGCGUUAAAGCUCAGACCAACUCAAGCCUAUUAUAACAUUAGAUACACCCUAUGCCCCUUAUUAAUACUGGGCCCCCCUAUGCCCCCAUAGGAGAGACCAUGCUAGAACGAGUAAUAAGAAGACUGAACUUCUCCCUGCACAUGUGUAAGUCGAAUCGGACCCGCCAUCGACAAUUAACGAACCCAACAAAAGAGGACCAUGCACCCCCGCCGCACCAGGCCAGGAAAAGCACGCAAACCCCAAUCGUUACCCCCACACAGGAGUGCUCAAACACAAGGGAAAGACUUAAAGAAUAAAAAGGAACUCGGCAAACCUAAACCUCGCCUGUUUACCAAAAACAUCGCCUCCUGCCCAUAAUAAUAUAGGAGGUCCCGCCUGCCCUGUGACCAAAAGUUUAACGGCCGCGGUAUUUUAACCGUGCAAAGGUAGCGCAAUCAAUUGUCUUUUAAAUGGAGACCUGUAUGAAUGGCAUAACGAGGGUUUAACUGUCUCUUUUUUCUGGUCAAUGAAACUGAUCUGCCCGUGCAGAAGCGGGCAUACUAACACAAGACGAGAAGACCCUAUGGAGCUUUAGACGCCCACCAACCGCGAAAAGCACCCCGACAACGGGCCUCCAGACAACGCGACCCUGGUAUAAACGUCUUCGGUUGGGGCGACCACGGGGGAAAACAAAGCCCCCGAGAGGAUUGGGGAUAUAACCCUAAAACCAAGAGCCACAGCUCUAAGUCACAAAAUAUUUGACCCACAAUGAUCCGGCUUACUGCCGAUCAACGGACCAAGUUACCCUAGGGAUAACAGCGCAAUCCUCUCCCAGAGUCCAUAUCGACGAGAGGGUUUACGACCUCGAUGUUGGAUCAGGACAUCCUAAUGGUGCAGCCGCUAUUAAGGGUUCGUUUGUUCAACGAUUAACAGUCCUACGUGAUCUGAGUUCAGACCGGAGUAAUCCAGGUCAGUUUCUAUCUGUGAUGCCACCCUUCCUAGUACGAAAGGACCGGAAUGGCGAGGCCUAUGCUGUUAGCACGCCUCCCCCCGACCUGAUGAAGACAACUGAAGCAGGUAAAGGGGGGCCAACCUCCGGCCCAAGAGAAGGGCA